AUGAAUAACCAUUCUGUAUAUAAUAAGUUAAACUCAAAUGUUUCAAUAUUUAAUAAUAUUGGCAAUUUAAACAGUAGUAUAUACACUUCUGGUGAUAAGAAGGGAAAAUCCAGAGCAUCAUUAAACGCGUUAUCAUUUUAUAAAUCUAAUGCGUCUGUAUAUGUAAAAAAAGUAGAUAAAACUGAUAAAAAAGAAAAUGUGAAAACAUUAAUUCGUUAUUUAGGAUGGAAAAAUUACAGUGGUACCAUAUCUCCAAAUUUAUUUAAAAAUCCUAGUAUGACUGAUUUGAUAAAUAUAUGGAAUUUUAUAUUUAAACACGUUGAUCCAUUAAUUGAAGUUAACAAAGAUAAUUAUGGAGAAAUAGUGUUAAGUUUUUACAAAGAUAUUGGAUACCCGUAUACUAUAUCCAAAUCUACUUUAGUCGCACCAACUACUGGACUACAAUAUAAUACUCAUUUAUCUGCGUUAGCUUGGCUUUGUCAGCUGUUAAUAUUCGAAGCAGAAUGUUUUAAUGAUAUUAAUGAUGAACGGGAAACAACUUUUUCUGAUGACUUUAAUGAUGAGUCUGACAUAAAAAUGGAAGAUUUUAUUUUACUUAGUUACAAAUCGUAUAUCAAUAGGGAAGAAAAGAAUGCCAAUGAUAUAUUAAAUGCUAAAUUAGAUAAAGAAAUAGAAAAACUAGACAAUGAUAUAAACUUAAAAAGUGCAGAAUUAAGUGAAAAAAAGAAAAAAAUCGAAGAAAUUAAAAAUCAUAUGAAAGAAAAUGAUGAAUUAAUAAAAAGAAAUAAAGUACUUAAUGAGGAUAAUAAAAAAAUAAAAGCAUUAUAUACAAAUAGUAUAGAUGAAACUGCAAAAUUAGAAAAGGAAAUAGAUAUGUGUAAAAAAAUGAAUGAAGAAGAAAAGCAGAAAACUGAAAACAUUUUAGAAGAAAUUAAUAAAAUAAAAGAAUUAUUACAAAAACAAUCUUUAAAUAAAGCACAAUUUAUACAAAUGAAUGAAAAUAUAGAAAAAAACAAAGAAAAAAUAGAACAUGUAAAAAAUGAAAUUAAAACUAUAAAUAAUGAAUACCCAGGAUUAAGUGAAAAAUUAAAUAAUAAAAGUAAUGAUUUAAAAAAAUUAGCAAAAAGUAUUAAUGAAACUUUAGCAAAAAUUGUACAAUACAUAAAUUUAAAUAAAAAUAGUUCAUCAUCAGAAUGGAAUAGUAUAAAUACUAUAAGUAUAAAUAUUGACUCAUUCAAUGUAGAUAAUAUGUUAAAUUUUAACUGGAAACAAAACAAAAAUAAUAUAAAUUCAUAUAUUGAGAAAGAUGAAAUUGAGUUAAAGAAUGUAAUAAAUUUAGUUCAAGAAAAUGAAAAAAAAGUUAAAAUAAUACAAGAAGAAAUAGAACAGUUAAAACAAAAUAUUACACAUACAGAAUAUUCUAUUAAAAAAUUAAAUGAAGAAAUUGAUCACUUUGUACUCGAAUCAACCGAUAAAUGUAACCAAAUGACUUCUGACAAUCAGGUAAGUUCGAAAAAGAGCCAUACGAACGAACGUGCAUUUGGGAUAUGUCUGUACGUAUGUGUAUGUAUGUGUGUAUGUAUGUAUAAAGGGUACUGUAUUUAUAUUUAUGCUUACAUUUGUGUCUCUAUGUUUGCGUACCAUCAUGUGUCUAUCAACAUUCUUAUGUUUAUAUUUUUAUGUUCAUAUUUUUAUGCUUAUAUUUUUAUGUUUUUAGAAAAUACUCGAAGAGGCUAG
ensembl:lncRNA